CCGACGGGACGACCCGUCAGCACAUCCACGUUUUGGGGACGACCCCG
rnacentral:ncRNA from 1 species